rnacentral:lncRNA from 1 species
CGGCCAGCGCGCAGAACCCGGAACCCUGAGCCCUGCCCCGAGACUGACUUUAGGUCUGGGCCAUCCUAUCCAGGUCUGGAGUUUUGGCAAGAAGUCCAUGUGCAGGGCCUUGGGAACUGUUUUGCAAGUGUAUCCUGGGAUUUUGUAAUCAACAGUAAUGGAGAUUGAAUCCAAGGCUUUUGCACUGAACUCCAACCUCGGUCCUUUUUAUUUUUUACUCUGAGACUGGGUCUUCCUAAAUCACUACUGGUAAGUUGCCCAGGUUAGGCUGGAACUUGCAGUCCUCCUGCCUCAGUCUCCCAGAGAGCUGCGAU